GAAAAACCUAGGCUUAAUGCCGCGAGAGCGGCAGCGGGGGACCCGUUAUCUGGGGUGAAUCUCGAGUGAUCGAGUAGGACGUUCUUGGUCCGAAUCCGACAGCUAACCUCGCCGGCCGAAUGCAAGAACGG
rnacentral:sRNA from 2 species